GAAAAAAAUUCUAAUUUAGCAUUUGAGUGACUGAUCUACACUCACUGCACAUGCACAUGAGUUUUACUUAUGGCUUCCUGGUUGUCAUCUUGACUUUCAUAAUGAUUUUACCUAUGAAUUUGUUUUCAGUGAGUGCAAUUUUGAGGUGACAUGGACCAUCUUCUGGGUGGUUGGGACCUCACUCAUUCAGUGUCACUUCCUAUAUCCUCCUGUUACCUGGGAUCUAGGAUGGCUUCUCAGUCGCUUCCCACCCGUUCAGCCUCCCCUUCUCCCUCUUUCCCGGUGACCAAGACUACCUUUCACCCAGGGAUUCAGCCAGAGAGAGCCCUCCUGUCCUUGGAGAAUCAAUCAUGGACUCAGCACAAGGAGGCCUUUGGCCUGUGCCAAUCCAGUGUCUCAUAGAGCAGACCGAUACCCUUCUUCUCCAGAGCAGGAGCCCAUUCAACAAGUGACUGGCCAGAACCUUUGGUCCCAGCUUCAUCCAGGCACUAAGUGCAUCCCAAAAGAUAGUCACAAUCCCUUUGGGAAGUGUCAGGACAUUGGGGAGAGGACACUGACUUUCGCACUGCAGCUAUAGCUCCAUAUAUUCAUUUUCCUCUGAAACCUACAAAUGACAUAGCGGCUUUGAUUAUAAAUUAUACACGUUUAAGUUGCAGUAGGAAUUAGAUGAAAUACAUCUGUAGAGUAAAUUCUAUCAUAAAAAAUAAGUUGUGAGUAUAGUUACUGGUCUUCCUAGUGACCCAUUCCUUUCCUAAUUUGCUCCUCUUUACUAAAUUAGGAACUGUAUUAAUGGAUAUAAAUGCAGGUCUGUAUCACUGGGUAUAUUUUCUUAUCACAGUCUACCCUAACUCAUUCUUAUGUAGUUGGUAUCUACAUUGAAUAAUCAUAAAAAAUAGCUAUUAAAAGGGAAAACUGAAAUAGGAGGAUUGAAAUUUCAAGCCUAGCCUGGAAAACUUAGUGAUUUAGUGAAUUCCCAUCUCAAAAUAAUAAAUUAAAUAGGUAGAUAGACAGACAGACAGACAGACAUAGACAGACAGACAGCCUGGGGAUGUAGCUUAAUCCCAAUAGCACAAAAAGAUGGCCAGGGCAGAGAUUUUUAGUUAGAUUCAGACCUAAUACUUAUGAAAAGCUCUUGCUGUGGAAGGAUGUGUCCUCAGUAUACAUGUGACAGUAUUGGUUGGAAUGGUGUACCUCAUAGGCCGUGUUUGUCAGACACAUAGAAACCCAUACUCUGGCCCACUUGCAAAGAGAAAGCAAGAAGUUGAAUCAGAUCAGUUGAAACCAACUACACAAUCUGACUCCUCCUCCCCACAGCAGACUCUGUCCGUGGUGCUGCCCAAUCUUUUCCUUCUUUAUCCCUUGGUUACUACAGCAGAGCCUGCUCUCUACCCGUGUCACCUCCAUGCUCCUGUGUAAGAAACAAAAGCUGACUUGUUAGCGGUUUAAUGUCUCAGAAAUACUCAUUAGAGGUAGGCUUCUAGUUAGUGUCAUCUCUUUUAUCUUCCUCAAAAAGACUCCAUGCGUUAAACUUAGGAAACAAAUUAUGACAUUCGGCUCUUCAGACAUAUAUGAAGUAGUGUGUUUUGUUGUACAAUAAUAUACUUAAAACUUAAUAUUAUAGCAACUAAAAAUCUGUUUUUUUAAAAAAGGAAAUUUCUUAAAAUAGUAACCAUUAUAGGCUACUAAAUUUUAAUUAUAUGACCCAAUUUUUCACUCAAGAAAAAAAUAAAAUUGAAAUGAAAAGUUCGUUACCUGGAGUUAUAGGUUAAUGUUAUAGAACAGAGACACAUUAUUUUGUAAAAAGAACCUGUCACUAUAAAAGAAAUGGUUAAAUGACUUUAGAUUGUAAAAUAUAAAUGGAGAUCUUUGGUAAAUAUAUGAAUAUUCUCUGAAUUUUGAAGUAGAAAACAUGAUAAUUUUAAACACAUAGUACCUUAUAGCAUUUUUAAAUUAAGAGUUUUAUUUUGCAAACAAACAGUAGAUAGUUCUGGAAUAAAUUAGAUAUGGAUUUGAAUCCCUUCUCAUGCGAUAAUCCAUAUAAAUGCAAACAUAUUGUGUAAACUCUUUGUAUGAAUGUAAUGUACAUUUUAAAUAUCUACCUCAUAAAGUUUGUAAAUGGGUAAUAUGGAUUAUUUAGAUACAAGUUAAGCACUCAACCAAUGCAGUUGUCUGAUUAAUAUUUUUUAUAUUUUUAGUGGCAUUAUUAUUCCCAGGAGACCACUGAAAGCAACUUUGUAGACAUCAUGAUAUGAAGAUUUUUAUCACUUACUACUUUUGUUUCAGAAGUCCUGAUUUCACCUAUAAGAUUAAAAUCAACCACAUCAAAUGACAUAUGAGAUUUGAAUUCUAUAGUAAGAAAUUUUAGGCUUACACAAAGUCAUUGGAUAUCCUAAGUUAGUAUAUAUUUACUGUUAUCAGGCUAGUGUGUGGGGAAAAGGACAACACAAAGAUAGAAAACGAGAAAAAAGGUAAAGGAUCGAGAAAGGUGAGUGUGGAUACAAGAAGAGUAGAGAAGAGGGAAGGAUAAACAGGCUAGGAAGGGAGUCACCACUCUUGGAAAUACACGAGGAAAAGAAGAAACCAGAACAAAAGAACAAAAGAUUUAUUAUGUUCAUUUAUUUAUUCUAUAUUUAUUUAUUCUAAAAACAGGGAUAAUCAAAAAGGAGAAUUAAAAUAAUUUAAAGAAAAGUAGCCACUUUCCCCACUAAUAUUAUUACUCUUUUCCACUGUUAAUUCUUAGUCGUUUACUUCCUUUUUUCUGGCUUGACAAACAAACCUCACACAUCUUUUCCUACUCGACCUUAAUUGCCCUCUGCAAAACACAGAGACACACACUCAGUUUUCUUUGAAAUUUUCCAGGAAUUUCAUGAAUAAAAAUCUAAGGAAUGGAAUAAGUGCCCUUCAUUUUCUCAAUACUUGCUUUUGAAAUUACUUGUAUUAUAUUAAUAGAAGAGUUAGGAAGUGAGAUAGAGAAGAAAUAACUGAAUGUUAAUCAUGAACACUCUUCUAAUAAUUUAGUUACUCUAUGUUGCCUUGUAAAAAUCAGAAAAUUAAUUGGUUAAAAGAUGUUGUGGAUGUACUUAAUGCUUCUUUAACAUGGAUCUAUUUAUACACACUAGGGAAGAGUAAUGCCUUAUCUUUAAUAUUUAAAAUUGUACAUAAUAUUACUUUUAAUGUAUUCAUAAAAAUGAAUGCAUACUUAUGGGCUCAUGGACUCUAAGGAAUAGUGGAUAAACAAUACAUUUUGUGUUACUAUUUCCAAACUCCCCACAAGCUUAAAACAUUUGUGUUCAAUAUAUACAUUUUUUAUUGACACAGCAAGUGAAAACCAGGAGGUUAAAAAAUGCUCUAGGGGAAAGUGUACUUCUAGAACCCUUAUUUUCUAGAUUUUUAGUUAAUAUAUUUUCUACUAUAUCAAAUGAUAUUAAGUGUAUAAUUAUGUGUUUUUGUGAAUGUGUGAGUGUGUGGAUGUCUCUGUGUGUAUGACUGAGUUCUUUUCAGGCCUCAUAUUCCAGUGGGUGAGAGGAAAUAGCAAUGAGAGCCCUUCCUGUCCUGUCCGUCUGCCAUGUUGGUACUCAUGAGUUGGGACUACAGUCACACAGGUGUGUGUAUAUUCUCAAAUCAGCAUGAAGGAUAAGAUAGCAGCUCAGGAAAACUCUUCUCACUAUUCACCUUAUUCCUGCUCUUCAAAGUGACCUUCUGUGUGCCAUUUAUUUUUCUUUUCUCACUAUUUUUCUUUCUUAAUUUUCUUCACCUUUAUACUUAGGUACCUUUGUCCACUCCUUCUUUCUGUUUUUAACCUUCUAUCCUCUGAGGGUUCCUCACUGCCAUGGUAUCGUACUUCUCAAACAUGUAAGUCGAAAAGGCAAAAUAAAAUCCUAUAUUCAGGAAAAUGAAAACCUCAUAUAUCAGGUAAUAAGUCAAUAUGUGAAUAUGCAAACACACCUAUAAAAUGCUGACUAAAUGAGAGUGUAUAUAAUGUGAGAUAGUACAUACAUAUCUUUUAUGAUAUAUAGUAAUACAUAUUCUUUUACAAUGCACCAUUACGGUUGCUGUGAAGUUUACAGUAUUUUAUAUUGCUUUCACAGAAGCAAGCUAAAACUUGCUUAUGUAAAUUUGUAAAUAAUUAUUACUGAAAUUGUCCAUUGGCAUUUCUAGUAUAUAUGACAAAUUGUGAUCUAUUAGUCAUCUUAUUUAAAAUGCUGUCCCAAUUUACCUUUUGCAAAUAUAACACAAUGGACAAGAACCAGAUCUAAAAUCAUACAUGUCUGAGUACCCUUUCAGGUCCACUGAUUAUUAUGUAACCUUGGAUGAGUGGCUUAAACUACUUUACUGUUUUAGGGAAUAAUUUCAGGACAUAAUUUCUAAGAUUGCAGCAAAAACUUCAAUAAUUAAAACAUACAAGACAAAUGAUCAUAAUUUAAAAAACAGUAUGAUAAUAUGCUUUAUAGCAUUGUGCUCCAAUUAAUUACUCAUUGUAGAUAUAAAUAGAAUGAAUACUAAAAUGAUAUUUAAGUUUAUAAUUGUUAAUGUUACAAUAGUCAAUUUUUCUAUAAGCUGAUUUUUUAAAAAUUAGCACAUAUCAAUAGGAAUAAAUUUAAGUUAUGUAUGUAACAUCACAUUCUAACCAGAUAUUCAGUGAAUAUAAACCUUUUUGUUUGAAUAUUAGUUUAUACACUUACUCUAUAUUUUGAUUUACACAAUACAAGAAAUAGGAUUCUACAAUAAAUGGAAGAUACAAUUCCAAGUGUUUCCACAGGCAUUGUUCAAAGCAUUCAAUUUGUUUGGUCAGUCCCUUUAAAUUCCUUAAAUUGGAAGGUUUCUGUAGAUUCUCAGAUGUACAAGUGUGUUUUUACUUUAAAAAUAGGAAAAGGGUUUAUCUGUUACUCAUACGUUCAGUGUCACACAGUUUGAUCUACAGAAGCUAUGUUAUGGUAAAAGAGGGGUUCGUGAACUACCAGAUCUGGCCUGAUUCUUUUUGUAAAUAAAAUUUUAUUGGAAUACAGUUUCAAAAAAAAAAAGGAAAUAUGUGGGAUCUAUAGCAAGAUUAAUAAAUUCCACUGGGAGCAAAAUAGAGAGUAAGAAAAAUAAGGAAAUAGAGAAGAUGGAGCAAUGGAAACAAGGCAUUAUGUUAUGACUACAACCAUGGCAAUUCAUUGACUGGAUAUUUUAGAUAAAGACAGAAAUCUAGAAGUUGCAGUCCUAUGUAUGGAGAAUCAUGAAAGUACUACAUCAUCUAUGCAAACUUUAACAAAAUAUUUAGUUGUUUAAACUUAAGUUCUACUAGAACACCUUUUUAUGAUUGAUAAGAGAAAAGAGCUCUUCUGUCUAAUUUGUAGAAAUGUAGAUAAAAGAAUAUGAAAUUCUCUUCCAUUUAUUUUCACACAUUUUUAUUGAUACUUACCUAAAACAUUUUAGCAUUUCCUCAUGCCAUUCAAUACAUUUUCCUAAUUAUGGAAGCCAUUUUUGAUAUUAAAAAAAUCCCUGAAACUUUUUACACAAAUCUGAUAUUUUGAGUACAUACUCUUAAAAGCUAUUUGCCAUUUUUUAAAUUUUCAAAAUGGUUUCAGUAGCAGCCACCCAAUAGUUUUAUUGAAAAAGACCAAAUUCCUGUUCCUCUAAAUUCUUGUUAGAGAUUUGGAAUAUUAGAAUACUUGUCUGUAUAAUUAAUAGAUAUCCAAACCAUUCAGAUUGUAAUAUAUAAUUUCACAAUACAUUUCCAUCAAAACAUAUGGUAAAAACAAAAUUCUGUCAGUAAAAUACAAAUCUAAUGUUUUAUAAAUUAUUUUUAAGUAUAAUGUGAAAUAAAUUAAAAAUGUCCUUAAAUAAUCUAACAAAUACUUCUUAAAAACACCAGAGGAAACCCAAAACAUGAAAAGAAUCAAGCAAUAUUAAUUAUUCAUAAGUGCUCUAGAUUUGACUGGAUGAAUUCAAUUGUCCUAUACAGAAUAAAGACAUUUAUAUUAAACUUUGUACCCCAAAAUAAAUCAUAACAUGAAUAUUUUAGAAACUUUCCACAUAGUUCUUAUAGAAGGAAAAAUCAGCUUACUUUUAAUAAAUCUUCAAAAACAAAUUUUGGGUAUUUCUGCUUAUUUCUUCCUAUUCCUUUGAAAUUGAAAAGUAAGAGUUUUUUAUAAUAUUAAUAUUCUUUUAAUCUUGUUUUACUAACUUUACUAUUUUUUGACUUUGUGGCUUUAGAUAAUAUAAUGGAUGUGCGUUUCAAAUUCCUGAGUAGUACAAGCGUCACAAUUCUUACAUUUACUCUCAUUUUAAAUCAUGAGGCUUAUAAGCAUUGUACACUUCAUCAGAAAUGGAGUAAGAAUAGUUGAUGGAAUGGAAAAAUAAACCUAUAGAUCAUUGAAAAUAUGAUGUUAGAUCCCUAAAAUAUCCUUACACAGCCAGUCCUGUACUGAGGUAGAUACUUUGCUGUUGGCAGUAGUUGCCAUGUUAUCCUUAAGAGAUGCCUUUGGGUGUUGAUGUUGAAAUGACUAAUGAAAAGUAACUGGAGUUUGGACUCUGAGUACUAGAAUUCAAUCAGAUAUACUAAAUUGACAGAAAAAAUAAAUUAAAAUGUAAUGUACAUGUGCCAACUCCACACAUGGAAUAUAAGCAUUAGGUACUGCAGACAUGGGGUAAUAAAAAUGAAAAAAAAAAUUAAAACUGACAGAAUGUGAAAUAUUCCAUUCCAAGGCACUGUGAAAUUUCAGUGAUUAAUUCUGUUUUUACUGUAGAUAAAAUCAGGAAAGAGGAAAGGAGGAUGAUACUUGUAAAUCUUUCUAGAGGUGUUUAUAUUCCUUGGAAGUACUAAUAACUUGAAACUCCCAUUUUAUUAAUAUUAAAAACUCCCAUGUCAUUAGUAUUUGCCAUAUUUGCCAUUAAGAUCUUUAUAAUGUUGUAUACUUGAAUUCUUUUCUAUGCUGAUCAAAUUGACUGUGAAAAUAAAAAUAUGAUCUUUAUAGAUUACUAGGUAAUGCCUACUAAUACAUGGUAAUCAUAGGUCAUACUUCUAACCAGAUUGUAUAUUAAAAUAGUGCUAUUUUGCUACAUUCAAAUAACUAAAUUAAUUUUCAUUAGACAGAUCUUCCUGCUUUGUUCACAAUUUUUCACCCCUUGAUGGUUAAUAAUUUAAGUCCAAAAAGAGUACAAGGAAAAUGAAAUGCGAUUUUUAAAAUGUCAACUUCAGAGUAGUUCUCUAUGUAGCAUAAUAAGGAUAUUAAGUUACUGCUGGAUGGAUAGAGAUUUAGAAUUCCUUGAGAUAUUUAUACAAGAAAAAAACCUAGAUUAACAUUCUUUUAAAAGUUACAUAUUUUUAAAAUUAUCUGAUUAAUAAGAAAUUAAAAAAACAACUUAAGAAAACCUUUAUAGGAAGAUUACCAUAUAACUAACAGGGACCUUUCCUCUAAUUUUAAACCCUCAAAAUGUUAAUUCUAAACAAUUAGAAUUCUCACUGUUCUUAAAUUUUGUUAUAUUCCUUUUCUGGCACAAUAAUCAGAAAAUGGGUAAAUCCAAUGAAGGCAAAUGAUUUCAGCAUAAACACAAAUUGGCUCACAAAUUAGCUCUCAGGUUGCAGAAAGAAUCUUCAGACAGACUUAAGCCCAAGGAACAUUUGUACAAGUGCAGGAAAGCAGGGGAACAUAGUUACAUGUAAGAACCCCUAAUGCUGAUGCCCAGAAAACAUGUAGUGAAAUUGACGACAGGCUGCUUGAAAUACUGUCUUCUCAAAUUAUCUUAACUAUAGAUUUUUGCAUGCUGCUGAGGAUUUUAUUUAUUGGAGAAUCCAUUUGGAUAGCAUAGAUUAUCUUUCCUUACACCUCCGCCCAUUAUUAUUAUUUUUUGUCACCUGAGAGAUAAAUGAAGAUCCCUAUGGGAUAUCACUUCUCUCUUUCUAAUGUAUUAUUAUUUGGAAAUAUCUUUGAUGAAAAAGCAGCAGCUUCUCACAUAUCUUUUAUUUGGACCUUUUAAUAUAGUGUCCUAGUUUUAUGUAGUGCACCAACUUGUUAUUAGUAAAAGGUGAGUGGGUAAAUAAAAAGGAGCUAUCUUUAUACUUUUAAUUUAUUCUCUGUAUAGAAAUAACAAUGGAAAAUUCAGUAUUCCAACUAUAUUAACUUUAAGAUUUUGCUUUAUGGUGAUAAUAUUACCAUUUUUUUCUAUUGAUAGAUGACUACCAUGAACAAUUCAAACAACAUAGAAAACAAGUAAGAAAAAUGUUAUAAAUCACAGAAAAUCUAUAUCCAUAAAUAAAUAGUGGAUUUGGUGAAGAAGAUUCCAGACAUUGCUGUAUGUAUAAUAGAUCCCAUCCCAGUUAUACAGAUUUACUUCCUUCUAAGUCUGUACAACAUAUAUCUGUAAGAGUGAAAGGCAAGUCUUUGACCUUCCUUGUGAAAACCCUUAGAACACAGUGAUUAUGUUUAAUACAUUUUAUCAAAUUCACUGCCUAAUUAAAAUAAUAAAAGCUAGAAAUGUGAAUGUUAAAUUUAAACUAAUAUAAGACGCAUACUGCAUAUAAAAAUCUUUUAUUCUAUAACCUAAAUUCUAAAAGACAGAAGUAACUUAACUAUUUCUUUCCAGCUCUUGGUUCCUAAAAAUCAAGACAAUGUAAGUAUAGGUAAGAUAGUAAUAUAUAGAGAAACAUAUUUUGCUAUUUGGGAUUUUUGUUUCUUUUCUUGAUUUCUUGCUUUUAAUUUCUAUUACAUUUUUGGUGUUAUUUAAAAGUAUGCCUUUAUGAUGUCCUGUAAAGAAAAGAAUGCCCAGAAGUAUGCAAAGCCUACAUUCAGAAGUUGUAGCUCUCAGAGUUUUCAUCUUUUUUAAUUAAAAAGAAAAAUUAUUUCUUGAUACAGUAGAAAAUUAUUUAAUAGCUCUUUUGUGUAAAUAUAUGUUAUAUUAAGAAAAAAUUAAAAUAGCAAACUACCUCAGGAUUUGUGUGUGUUGACUUGGUCAAAACAUUGGACUUGGCACAUGAGCAGUGAGCAUUUUAAGGAAAUAAUUAGCUUUUCAAAUACUUGACUGCCAGAAAGCCAUUUCUGCUGUACAAUAUACCCAGGGGCAAUGAAGCAUCCUAAAAGUUCCCUAAGUUGCUCCACUUUCUCAAUCACAAUCAUUUUUUUUUUUUUGGUACCUGGGAUUGAACUCGGGAUCCGAGUGCUUGUGAGGCAGGUGGCAGAACCACUGAGCUAAAUCCCCAGCCCAAUCAGAGUGUUUUGUAAGUCAUUAUUUCCUUUACAUCCAUUUUUGUGAAGUUUAUGUUGGUUAAUUGGCCUGGGAAUUGAUCAGUCUUUAUGAUAAAUGUGGCUGCCAUGAAGGUUUCACUUGCUCUGAUAGAAAGCCUUACUAUUCCAAGUUGAAUGGCACUGCCAUUUUUCUUCUUGUUUAGAGAAGGCAAUUCUGUUUAUCUCCAGCACCAACUCAAAUGAAUUGGUGGUAGCUUUCUGCAGUGAUUUGUUUUCUUGAGAAGAAUAAAUGGAAUAGUGGGUAAAUGGAAUAGUGCUGUGAUCACUUUCCAUGUCUGCUGUUCUGCGAAAAGUAACAGAACUAUCCUUGCCUUCUGUUGACACCUCAGUUUCAGAUCCUCGGUCAUGGAAACACAAUCUCUUUGAAGGAUGGCAGUGCAACCUGAGUGGGUUUCUAGUUUUCUUCCAGGUUAAUCUUUGUAGUGUGUGUUGGGCUGGAAAGAGACAGUCAAAUACAUUGUUACCAUGAGUCAUGCCAAUAUCUGAGUAUAAUUUAAAUCCGAACCAUUUAAAAUUUUUCAAAAGCAAAUACAAUUGAUAUUAACAUAAAAAUAAAUCUGUCAAAAAGCCAAUUUCAGUAAUGAAAACUCUUUUGAUGCCGCUUGAGUACUUAAUAGAAAUUAAGAAUUAAAAAAUCACGUACACCUCGGUUCACAAAAUUCAUUCCAUGAUUCUGGAAAAGAUGGUCAUGUACAUGUUGAGUAGGAAAGAUGACAAUGAUUAUGUUUGUCACCCAAUGAAGAGUUCACAAACAAACAAACAAAAUUUUCCAAACACUUCUGUAUGGGAGCCAAAUUGCAAACAAAAGCAUUGUUCAUGAAACAAGGUACCACUGUAAAUGGAAAAGAAAACAUCUACACUACAUUGCAAUACUUAAUUGCAAGAUUACAAUUGCCUGGCCAUUCACAAUAAAGAAGAAACAGCUAUACAAGGCAUUUGUCUGUGGACUUUCAUUUUUUGAUCUAGUGGAGGAAGGAAUGGGAAACUACUACUGGAAAGAACAUCCUACUGGAGACAUAAAUUGAAUCACUCAAACACUUCCAUUCUUCUAGUGAUUAAGUUCAUUCCAGUAUUGUAAUGCUGAAAUAGAGAAAGAGAUAGAAGUGCUACAUUUGCACACAAAAUCAUUGCUAAACAGGAUUCAUGAACUAAUAAAGCAAAAUUGGGAUGAUUUUAUACAUUAUACUUCUAAUGUUAUAAGAAAAAUCAAUGGGAGCUCUAUUAUGAGAACUAUAAUGUGUGUUAGAAUCAAUAAUAUAAGUAUUACAUUUGUGGACUUAAAGAGAAACAAAGGUAUAUGCCUCUGUGUUAGUGUCCUUAUAAUUUAUAUCAUCUAGUUAUUUAUAACAUGGCCACACAUUAUUUAUCAGGAAUUAAACACAUGAGUAUGAUCUUCAGGAAGAAUUUGCAUGUGUGUAUCAAUAAACAUGUAAUGAUGAAUGUUCAAAUAGUCUUGUUUUUAGCAAAUACUGGAAACAAUCUAUCAAUUUUAGGAUGGCUAAUGAAAUUGAAUCUUAUGUCUUUAAUACUACACAUAUCAACAUUCAUGAAACUAAAACAUUUGAAAAAAAAAGAAUAUUGCAGAAAAAUGCAAAUAAUUCAGAAACAUGACAGAGUCUGUUGUUAAACACCCUACCAUGAACAGGAAAGUCCCUCACAACAAAUAAUUUUCUGACCCAAAUACUAAUACCAAUGAUCCUGAGAAACCUUUUCUAAGGAAAAGUGACAGUAUAAUGCCAAUUUCAGGAACACUUUUAAGGAAAGGAGAAGCAUAAUGAUUUUUCCUUUUACAUUUUCCUUUGUACUAGUACUCCCUUUAUUUAAAGUGUCAUUUUGCUGGUUUUCAUUCAUUUCACUUAUUGUUCUGUAUUCCUAAAAUUUGCAAAACUGUGUCAACCUGAUACAUCUAAAAUGUAUCUCCUGGGUUAAAUUAACAUUUGCCUGAUAAUCUAAUGAGUUUGAAUAUCUUUUCAUAUUUUAGAAUUCAUUCUUACUCUUUUUCUUUGAAAUGUUUAAUGUGCUGCUUAACACAUCCACUGAGUUUAGGAUUUAGUGUUUCAUUGCUAGAAGUACUUUCUGCUUUUUGGUAAACCCAUGAGGUCAAUUUUAUAGUAUCUUGUUCCUUUAUUGUGUCUUCAGUCUGCAUGUGUAUGAUUCUACACUUUUUAAAAGAUUGUCUUUUGUGAUGCUUGAUUUCUUCACCUUUUCUGUAAUAUUUGAUGAUCACAAAAACUUAGUGUUGUUUUAAGGCUACUAUGAGAGAAGAUGUGUAUACAUGUCAGUAUUAGGAUUACAUUACGGGAGCUACAAAUACCACAUCUGCCUCCUUCCACCAAGCCUUUUUAUAGGAAAAUAAAAGCUAAAGCUCAAAGUAUGAGAGAGGUCCUUUGGUAUUACCUCCAUGAAAAAGUUGCUAGUCAUCUGAGAACUUUAACUCCCGAGGAAUAGCAAUAAUUAUAUUGGUGAUAUAAAGUAAGCUCCUGUAUCAAUGUCUAUGCCUACUGUGAAUAUAUGAUGAAUUCACACAAUAAACCCUAGGAAAUCAAUUGAUAUUAUAGCUCAAACUAUUCCUAUAUACCAUGAGUAUUAUUCAUAUAUACUCAAAAUAUUUUAAUCUAUUAAUAUACAUAUUUCUGAAAAUCUUGUUGCUCAUUUUUAUAAGAUUUAUUAUCUAGUAUAAUGAAUGCAGAUUGCACUUAUAUUUAUUUAUAUGACAUCUAUAAGUAUUAGGUUAAUGUUUCUAAAGCCAGGUAUAGUGCUGCCCAACUAUUAUUCCAGCAUUUUGGGAUGCUGCCGUGGAAGAUCACAAGUUGGAGCCCAGCCCGGGCAACUUAGUGACUUAGUAAGAACCUGUGUUGAAAAAAAAGUAGAAAAAGAAUUUGAGAUGUAACUAAGUGUAAAGAUCCUGGGUUCAGCCCCUACUACAGGGGUAAAAGAACGAUUGCUGAAAACAGAUGAAAAAGUAGAAAACUUUUCAUGUAUGAGAGACUUUAGAAACUUACUUUCAUGUAUGAUCUAUUCACAGUCUACAUGUAAAUCUGAUGUUACAGUUGAACAGAUUCAGACAGUGCUUAGAGAUAGGAGAACAUUUGGGGAAAGGGCGGGAAUAUGCUUUAAAACAGGAGUAUGGAAUUAACUUCUGACAAUGUGAGGCAAUGUUAAGAUUCCACUUACUUGUCCAAAAUAUUUUGUCUAGCACUUCUUCUUUUACUCAGCAUGGCCUAAAGCUCAAACGACUGUAGAAAUCUCAAGAUUAAAUAUCCAAAUGAGAAUUUGUUUGGAGAAAGGCCAGAGCUCUUUCCUGUGUAACAUAAGUGCGUCCACAUUAGUCUUCUCUGCAAUCUAGCUCCUUGAGACUGUCCUAGGUUUUAAUCCCCAGUUAAAAAAAAAAAAAAAUCUAGUUAAAGCAAAAUACACUAAAAUUUCUUCAAGCAAAAACAAGGUCUAUACCUGCAACAUAAAUUUAUUUUACACAUGCACAAGAGUUAUUAAAGAUACAGAUUUAUAGUUGAUAGCUAAUGCGAGUGGGGUUAAAGAAUUAAAGUCAGAAAAGAGGAAUCCAACAGCUAGGUGGAAUUAUUCUUUCCAGCAAUAUGCUGCAAAAAUAAAUACCAAAACAGAAAUAAAUACUGCAGUUUGUACAAUUUCAAAUGAAUUCCAAAUAUGACAAAGUAAAAACAAAAAUAAUAGGGAUAAUUUAGGAAUUGUUAAGUAUAUGAGAGCUUAUGCACAGUGCCAAUAGUUUUAAUUACAACAAAAGCAUGUGGAUAUUUUUGUGCCCUACGCCUCUAUCUUACAGUGAAAAUUUCCUGUGUAAAUAGUAUAAUGUCUAAAAUAGAAAAGUAACUUCUGCUGUUCUCAAGUGAAAUGAAGAAAAUCAAUAAUUAAUCAAUUUUGUUAGAGAGAUUCAAACUGACUUAGCAAAUAAACUCCAAAUAUUUUAUCGUGCUCUCUGGAUAUCUUAUUAACAGGAGUCUUUCCUCAAUCACAUGAUAAAAACUUCCCUAUUAUUGAUAUUUUCAUUUCUUAAGAUCUCAGUCAUUAUACGUUUCCUUAUCAGACAGGGAAGAAGAACAAGGAGACAAAGAUUCCUAGAAAGCUUUGGCCAAAAAGAGACACAGACUACUUGCAAACUCAUUUCUUCCAUUUCCUGAUUUUCCUGGGCCACCACAAGUAAUUCUCAGCAUUCGGUGUAUAUCUUGUCCUCAACUUUAUUUAUUUUUUUACAUGGUUUUGACUCAUUUACUUACUUGGUCCUCUUCUAAUUUCAGCAACCUCAACACCCUUUUGAUCAAUACUCUUGGAAAACAUGCAUCAGUUCAUAUAUUUGUAUGUAUAUUUGUAUUCAUAUAUUUGUAACUUACUUUUAUAAUGCUUCACCUCCGCAUCUGACCAUCACAACACUUGAAGGUCUUGCCAUAUACAUUUUAAUAAAGAGGAAAGAAAGGCCAGAGAUUAAGUACUGCUCCAUUUUUAUAAGUAAUGUAGACUAAAUAUAAAAUUGGUAAAGCUUAAGCUCUUCUAUCUACAGAAUAAUUGAUUCAGGCCUCAAGAAUAUGUUAAAUAUAAUCAAAAAUAUUACCUUUGACUCUCUAUGCUUUUCUAUUCUCACCCAUCACACACAGAGCUACCUCAACACAUUGGAAAACAAAUUGCCAACAUCAGCAAUGAUAUUUUGAAUCUCCCUCCCCUGAUGUUGUUAGUUAGACAGGAUAUACACACGUAUCUUUACUCAUGGGAGUUUUAUUUGAAAUUCCUUAAAAGGUGGUCAUUAAAAGCUGAAGAGAGAAAGAGGAACUCUUUAAGAAAUACUGUAUUUGUCCCUGUGGAUUUGCACCCCUGAAAGCUAUUUGGGGACAUCUUGGUGGCCUCAAUGACAUUUUUAAAGUCAACUUUCAAAAGACAAAUUUGGUGCUAUGUAUUUUUGAGGUACAUAGAAAUCUAAGUGCCAUUUUCUAAUACCAGAAUAUAUCUUAGGGAAGCUCAUGGAUUUAGAAAUACUUUGAUAGUGCCAUCUAGUGAAUGAAAUUCAGCAAUCUAUUUCAAAUAAUCUGUUUGGUUAAAGACAAAAGGGAAAGUAACGCUGUUCCUAAUAUAAUGAAUUUCCAUCUUUCUGGUGCUGAAAGUAUUUUAUCACUUUAGCAUGUCCUUCUUUGUUGGAUUUUUUGAAUGUCACACAAUGCUUUCAAGAAUAACAGCGAAAGGUAGGUUGCUUUUACUUUGUACAAAAUUCUAGUAAUAACUUCAUUGCAUUCCUGAGAGAGCCACUGGAGAUAAAUAGCUCUGUCAAACACAUCUGCUAGCAUUCUUUAAUAAUCUCAGACAUGCAAUCACUCAAAACAUGAGGGGAAAGAAGACUAGGUUAUGAAAGUACGCUUGCUGAUCCUGAGGGUUAAGCCUCAUAUGACGCCCUGGAAGGUUCAGCUGUGAAAUCACUGUCUGCCUCUCCACAGUAACAAGACUGUAAAAUGUUUGGAACAAAGGAUAUCGAUGGUGAUCUUAUUAGAAGAAGAGAAUAACAGCAUAUACCUAGAGAAGGAUAAAAGGUUUUCAAAUACUUAUUUUAAUGCAGAAAGUGAAUAAAAUACUAUAUCUAAUUAUUAUAUUAAAUAUUUGUAAUGCUCAAACUAAUGGAAGUCAUUUUUAUUAAGAAUUAUAACAUUCCUGUUACAGUCAAAGGCCUUCAAUAAAAAUAAAUAAUGCAGUAAGUCUACAUUUAAUCCUUAUAUUGUCUUCCUGCUCACAUGAUCAUAUGGAACAUACAUAUACAUAUUGUGCUUUUAUGUUCUAAUAACCUUUAUCAUCAUUUUUUAUUUCGUAUGUUUUUUGGCCAUAUAUUUACACUUAGCAUCCACUAAAGGAUAAAUUGAGAUACCUUGAUUCCAAUUUCCAUAUGCUCUAUUCUUUUAUGGCCUUCCUUCUCUAGCUUAUUGUUUAUUUUUUCUGCACAAAUAAGCUGUACUUACGUUAAUCUAACAGGGUUACUUGAUCUGAUUUACAGUCCUAUUGAGUAUGAGAGCUGUGAAAAUGUCUGAAGUUAUCACUGAGGGAAUGGUACUAGGCACAUACUACACAGUAGCUACUAGGUAGAAUACGAAAGGCCAUUCCUCUGAACAUUGUCCUCACAGUCAUGUUUAGUCUUGCUAAGCAGCAUCUACUCCUUCAAUUUCAUUGGAGCUUUCAAUAUCUUGUGCAAAAUGUUGCCUGAUGCAUCUUUCAUAAGUGUUCAGGAAUGUUCUGCAUUAUCUUUACUGGGAGAAAAAGAGCAACAGAAGAUGUAUGGAGUUUGCCUUUUGGCAUAUUUAUUGAGUGACGCAUGGGGACAGGAGCAUGUGAUGCCUCAUUGCUUCAUCUCUGAUCCCGACUCAAGACCUGCAGUGCCCAGGGCUGCUUGAGAUGGGCUGAUGAAUGUGUGAAAUUGAGAAAAUCAUCUUGGGAUGACUAGGAUAGCCUAAGUCAUGCGUGAAAGUUUUCAUUAUUAUAGAUUUGUCCUCAGAUGCAUUUGCCCUUGAAGAUGUGUCCUUUUUCUUUGUUUUGAAAUUUUAGAUUUUUGACUUUGAAGCACUCUUCAGGCAGUUAAUCAAAAGCUGUUAUUUCUGGUACUCUGAACUUCUAUUUCUCCCACAGAUGGCAUUAUAAUACAAAUAAAGAAAAUGGAGAAAUUAAUCACUUAGCCCAAGGCACCAUCUAUUUUCAUUUUUCACUUGUAUCAGUCUCCACCUUUUCCAAACUAUAUUAAGUGUAGAGAUAAAUGUAUUCAUAUUGUGAUUACAGAACUGCAUCCUGUGCCUUUCAAAUGUAUUAUCAUUUAUUUUGCCAUGUGUACACUUCUGGUCAUUUAUCUGUUUGCUCCUAUUUCUCCAUAAAUAUCUGCUAUUAUUCCUCUAGCUAUACCUUUUCUUUCUAUCUGCAAUUGGUAGUUUUAAUUUAGAUGCACAUGUUUUAAGGAUGAUCCAAAAACUUACAGUUCCUCACCACUGCUUAGCUGACUCAAAAUGUCCACUCUGGUAUCCAAGAUAUCAUUGGUAGGCUGAUGUUAACAAUGCAAACACAAUUUCCAUUUCAGCAUCAUGUCUAUCAGCCACACCUGAUACCACUUAAUUUCUAGAUCUAUUUGGAAGAAAAUGCUUAUGAUUCAGUAUAUUGUUUUGAUUGACUUGUAAGUGCC
rnacentral:lncRNA from 1 species